rnacentral:rRNA from 1 species
ACGAACGCUGGCGGCGUGCUUAACACAUGCAAGUCACGGGGGCCCAGGGGCAACUCUGGGCAACCGGCGAACGGGUGCGUAACACGUGAGCAACCUGCCUAUCUGCGGGGGAUAGCCGGCCCAACGGCCGGGUAAUACCGCAUACGUUCACGAGGGGACAUCCCCUUGUGAGGAAAACUCCGGUGCAGAUAGAGGGGCUCGCGGCCUAUCAGCUAGUUGGUGAGGUAACGGCUCACCAAGGCGACGACGGGUAGCUGGUCUGAGAGGAUGGCCAGCCACAUUGGGGACUGCGACACGGCCCAGACUCCUACGGGAGGCAGCAGUGGGGAAUAUUGCGCAAUGGACGAAAGUCUGACGCAGCGACGCCGCGUGUGGGAUGAAGCUCUCGGGGUGUAAACCACUGUUGCCCGGAAGAAUCUCCUGAUUUAUCAGGAUUGACGGUACCGGGUGAGGAAGC